UUAUUAAUAAAUUUAACGGUAAUAUUUAUUUGGUGUAUUUAUUAUAAUAAAUAAAUUGUGUCUUAGUAUUGUUUUACAGAAUUAGAUAGGUUUUAUGAUUUAUAGUUUAGUUUUAUCUGUAAAGUUCAAUUUUAGUAAUUUAUUUAAGUAGAGAUUUAAUCUUGUACCUUUUGUAUCAGGGUUUAUUAAUUUAGGAUAAUUAUUUAAUUGUUUUUCCCGAAAUUAGAAGAGAUAUAUAUUAGUUUUAUUGAAUAAUGUAGAUUUCAAAUUGUUAAUUAUUGUUUCAAAAUUAUUAAUAAAUUUUAUAUAGGGGUUAUAUGCUAUUCAAUUUUAAAUAUCUGGUUAUUUAAUAAAUGAAUUUAAUUCAGAAUCAUAUUGUUAUUGGUAAUUUUUAAUUAAAUUAGGAUUUACUUAUAUUGAUUUAAUAUUAUAAGGGAUUAGCUUUAUAAUGUUUAUUAUAAUAGUAAUUAAUAAAAUAAAAAGUUUUGUAGGCUUAGAAUCAGCCAUUUAUAAUUCGUUAUAGUUAAUUUUUACUUAAUUUAUUUAUUUAUUUAAGAUUUAAAUUUUUAUUAAAUUGUUCGUUGUAAUUUUAUUAUUGAAGUAAUAAUGAUAGAAUUAGUAAUAUAUUAAUAUUGGAUAUAGUAAUUCGGCAAGAUUAAUAUUCACCUGUUUAACAAAAACAUGGCUUAAUUGUAUAAGUUUAUUAAGUCAGGCCUGCUCAAUGAUUAUAAUUAAUUAAAUAGCCGCAGUAUUUUGACUGUGCGAAGGUAGCAUAAUCAUUUGUCUUUUAAUUGUGGGCUUGUAUGAAUGGUUUGAUGAGAUAUUAACUUUCUUUAUUCAAUAUUUACGAAAUUAAUACUUGAGUUAAAAAGCUUAAAUGUUUUCGUGGGACGAGAAGACCCUAUAGAGUUUUAUAAUUAUAGUUAUUAAAUUAUUCAUUGGUAAGUUUCAUUAAUUCAAUAGUUUAAUUAUUUUGUUGGGGUGACGGGAAAAUUUUAUUAACUUUUCUUUAUUUUAUAUUAAUAAUUAUUAUGUUUAGAAUGAUCCUUUAUUAAGGAUAAUAAGAUUAAAUUACCUUAGGGAUAACAGCGUAAUUCUUUUGGAGAGUUCAUAUCGAUAAUGGAGUUUGCGACCUCGAUGUUGGAUUAAAAUAAGUAUUAAGUGCAGGAGUUUAAUUACUAGGUCUGUUCGACCUUUAAUAUUUUACAUGAUCUGAGUUCAGACCGGCGUGAGCCAGGUUGGUUUCUAUCUUUGAAUUAAUUAUUUCAUUUUAGUACGAAAGGACCAAAUGGAUUAUAUAUUAUAUAUUAUAAUAUUGAUUAUUAUUAAUAUUAAUU
rnacentral:rRNA from 1 species